AAUAACCUGGGGAAUACUUGUUUCGCAAACUCUGUUCUACAAGCACUGUUUUGCACCAGGAGUUUUCAUUCUGGUAUUAUUAGUCAUGUCAAAGUACCAGGGUGUAACCUUCUAUCUCCUUGUUUUUUGUGUGAGGUUAAAGCUGCUUUUGUGGUUGUUCUUGUAGAUCCUGGACCAUCUUUUUCUCCUUCCACGUUUGUGUCUUACAAUGUCAUGAACUCUAUUUUACCUCAAUGGCAAAUGGGAGCACAAGAAGAUGCUCACGAGUUUUUUCUGUGUUUAUUACGUGUAGUGGGAACCUA